GUGAGUAGUUAGAGUUUGAUCCUGGCUCAGGACGAACGCUGGCGGCGUGCCUAACACAUGCAAGUCGAACGAAGCAUUUAAGUGAAUCCCUUCGGGGUGAAGCUUUUAUGACUUAGUGGCGGACGGGUGAGUAACGCGUGAGUAACCUGCCUUUCAGAGGGGGAUAACAGUUGGAAACGACUGCUAAUACCGCAUAACGUAUUUUUUAUCGCAUGAUAGAGAUACCAAAGCUGAGGCGCUGAAAGAUGGACUCGCGUCUGAUUAGAUAGUUGGUGAGGUAACGGCUCACCAAGUCGACGAUCAGUAGCCGGACUGAGAGGUUGAACGGCCACAUUGGGACUGAGACACGGCCCAG
rnacentral:rRNA from 1 species